GAUUCCGCUACGUCGACACUCCGUCGAGCCCCCGAUGCCCCAGUUUCGACCACACCCGACGGCCAUCAAAGGGAUUGUUUCGUGCACGAUAGACGUCAGACCCCGUAGGUAGAAACAAUAGGGACACAGAACAAGCAAGUGAAUGUGAUGACAUGCAGAUCACUCUAGAAGCUAAAAUUAAAAUAAUUUGGAUUAAGUGAAUUACUUAUGCUCUAAUGAAAUGAAUUCCAAGUGCUACUUAUUAUCUAACUGUUUAGAUACCAUGCAAGUAAUUUAAACAUCUAAAUGGUGAAACUCGUGAUCUAUAUGCUAGUUGUUUCUUAUUGCAGUUUUUGAAGUAGCUUACUGGAAUUGUACUACACAUGAAUUCGUAGAUAUAUAUAAAAUUACAGAUAAGGGUGAGACAGAUUAUUUGGCAAAAUGCUUUGAUUAUAUCUACAUAUAUUUUUUCUUUAAUAGCAUAAAUUUAAGGAAGUGCAUUCAAAACUAGUAACUAGGAUACAUACACUUAAACACUAAAUUGAACUACGACACUUGUCACAGGGAAGAAUUUAUAAGUUGAAGAAUCAACGCAUCAACUAGAACGGUUGAGCGGUAACGAAUUACUACAAGAAUUUUGUAAUUUAUUCUUCGUAUCAUCUCACCAAUAAAUUCACAUAAUUGACUAUUCGUCUAUUACCGCCCAACAUCUUACAAAAUUCUUGUAAGCAUCUUCCAAGAACGCCAAGUAUUAGACGACUGGUGCUAAUCGGUAGCUGGACACCAUGAGCACUACCAGUGGGAAGUCAGGAAACAGAACCGAACGCCAGGCUACUGAGGCAGCUGUAGUCACCGGAAUCGACAGCCUUACUAUCGUGGAUAAAGCGAAAAGCGGAGCGAAGGAUGCUGCGAAUCAGGUAACUGGCGCAGAAUGCGCAGCAGCUCUACAGCCUACAAAAACGGUCCUGAAUCCCAAGGCAGAUGAUGCAGUCGGUGCCGUCGCCGAGGAUCGUACGACGGGAACCAAGCCAAAGCAAGUAACUAAUCCAAGGGCUGCAGUCCCUGUCGACCCUCAACAAUUAUCGACGGCUCCAGCCGGUACGACAUUGUCCAGUAUACGAGUCAGAGUCACUAGAUUUAGCCAUUGCGAAAUGUGCAACGAUCGCGACAAUAGCAGGAUGGUGCAAUGCGAUAAUUGCAGUCUAUGGUAUCACUUUUCGUGCGUUGAUGUGACUAGUGGUAUAGCAGAUUAUAGCUGGGUCUGCCCUGCGUGUGCGGAAGAAAGCAGA